AUUUACUUAUUACUUGAUUUUUAUCCGAUUUUUGUUUUCUACGAAAACAUUAAUAAAUUUGCAAACCAUUUUUAAUAUACUUACUGGUUGUUGAUAAUAAGUGAAGUUCAAAUAACCGCUGAUACAUUCGGUAAUAAAUUGUGAAAGUGUAUUGCUUUUCUUUUGCCAUCUAUUGGGAUCUCGUUUUGACGAAGGGCAUCCAACUCCCUAGGCAUCAGUUUUGCUUAUAUAAGUGUUAAGAGAAACAAUAACGCACUUAAGUCCUUUCACUUUUCAUUUGACAGUUGCGGCUUUCUUUUCCACUGGCCGAGUAAAUUGAGAUACCUUUUAUGUGUAUCCCAUUACAAAGGUUCGCUGAACUCUGAAAUGCACCUGCUUUAUUCUCGGUGAGUGGACUACUUAUACUAUUUGCACACGUGUCUGAUUUUUUAAACAAAAAAGUAUUAUGGUUCUGUCAUAUAAAUAGCCAUUUUGAAGGCACAAUUCGCAUUCGAAAUUGCAUAAUAUUUUUGAAAACGACAUGAGGUCUGCGGCUAUAAUUUUCUUUAUAGCUUUUAGCUGUCUGGCUUUGGCUGAAGGAACAUCGGUUCGAUGCGAACGGCCUUGCACCAGGGAAUUUGAUCCUAUUUGCGGCUAUUGGAAACAAAGGGAUGGAACUAGUGUUUGUACAUUUUCGAAUAAGUGUGCCAUCCAAAAUCAGAGAUGUAGGGGCCAAGAUUGGGUUGUCGCUCACAGCGGCCAAUGCAAGGAUACCACCCGAGACUGCGAUGCUCUUCAAAGGCGAAUUCCGUAAUUUUUCUUAUUCAAUAUUUACGUAAAUAUACAAAGCAAGCAAUCCAAAAAUUACGUAUUUCUAGGCAUAUUUUUUAUCCAGCUUUGAUUUAUCACAAGCCCUGAAAAUUAACAGAAGAUUUGCCCAAUGUUGGCCAUAAUUUUCGGUUUACAACUCGCACGACUUGCAACUCUUUACGCUUCUCAGGCUUAAUCCGUGUUAAAUGCUCAUUAAAACUCGUUACCAGCUUGUUGCUUUCA